rnacentral:rRNA from 1 species
GUUGGGAAUCUUGGACAAUGGGCGAAAGCCUGAUCCAGCCAUGCCGCGUGAGUGAUGAAGGCCUUCGGGUUGUAAAACUCUUUCGACGGGGACGAUAAUGACGGUACCCGUAGAAGAAGCUCCGGCUAACUUCGUGCCAGCAGCCGCGGUAAUACGAAGGGGGCUAGCGUUGUUCGGAAUUACUGGGCGUAAAGCGCGCGCAGGCGGUUCUCCAAGUCAGUGGUGAAAGCCCGGAGCUCAACUCCGGAACUGCCAUUGAAACUGUUGAACUUGAGGACGAGAGAGGUGAGUGGAAUUCCCAGUGUAGAGGUGAAAUUCGUAGAUAUUGGGAAGAACACCAGUGGCGAAGGCGGCUCACUGGCUCGUAUCUGACGCUCAGGCGCGAUAGCGUGGGGAUCAAACAGG